rnacentral:rRNA from 1 species
GAGUUUGAUCUUGGCUCAGAGCGAACGCUGGCGGCAGGCCUAACACAUGCAAGUCGAGCGGAUGUAGCAAUACAUCAGCGGCAGACGGGAUAGUAACACGUGGGAACGUGCCCUUUGGUUCGGAAUAACUCGGCGAAAGCCGUGCUAAUACCGGAUAAGCCCUUACGGGGAAAGAUUUAUCGCCAUUGGAGCGGCCCGCGUCUGAUUAGCUAGUUGGUGAGGUAAUGGCUCACCAAGGCGACGAUCAGUAGCUGGUCUGAGAGGAUGAUCAGCAUCACUGGGACUGAGACACGGCCCAGACUCCUACGGGAGGCAGCAGUGGGGAAUAUUGGACAAUGGGCGCAAGCCUGAUCCAGCCAUGCCGCGUGGAUGAUGAAGGCCUUAGGGUUGUAAAGUCCUUUUAACGGGGAAGAUAAUGACGGUACCCGUAGAAUAAGCCCCGGCUAACUUCGUGCCAGCCGCCGCUGUAAU